AAUGAACGCUGGCGGCGUGCCUAAUACAUGCAAGUCGAGCGAACAGACGAGGAGCUUUCUCCUCUUACGUUAGCGGCGGACGGGUGAGUAACACGUAGAUAACCUACCUAUAAGACUGGGAUAACUUCGGGAAACCGGAUCUAAUACCGGAUAAUAUAUUGAACCGCAUGGUUCAAUAGUGCAAGACGGUUUUGCUGUCACUUAUAGAUGGUUCCGUGUCGCAUUAUCUAGUUGGUAAGGUAACGGCUUACCAAGGCAACGAUGCGUAUCCGACCUGAGAGGGUGAUCAGCCACACUGGAACUGAGACACGGUCCAGACUCCUACGGGAGGCAGCAGUGGGGAAUAUUGGACAAUGGGCGCAAGCCUGAUCCAGCCAUGCCGCGUGGGUGAAGAAGGCCUUCGGGUUGUAAAGCCCUUUUGUUGGGAAAGAAAAGCAGCAGGUUAAUACCCCGCUGUUCUGACGGUACCCAAAGAAUAAGCACCGGCUAACUUCGUG
rnacentral:rRNA from 1 species